rnacentral:rRNA from 1 species
GGUCAAGUGAAGAAGCGCAUACGGUGGAUGCCUUGGCAGUCAGAGGCGAUGAAAGACGUGGUAGCCUGCGAAAAGCUUCGGGGAGUCGGCAAACAGACUUUGAUCCGGAGAUGUCUGAAUGGGGGAACCCAGCCAUCAUAAGAUGGUUAUCUUGUACUGAAUACAUAGGUGCAAGAGGCGAACCAGGGGAACUGAAACAUCUAAGUACCCUGAGGAAAAGAAAUCAACCGAGAUUCCCUUAGUAGUGGCGAGCGAACGGGGACUAGCCCUUAAGUGGCUUUGAGAUUAGCGGAACGCUCUGGAAAGUGCGGCCAUAGUGGGUGAUAGCCCUGUACGCGAAAAUCUCUUAGUCAUGAAAUCGAGUAGGACGGAGCACGAGAAACUUUGUCUGAAUAUGGGGGGACCAUCCUCCAAGGCUAAAUACUACUGACUGACCGAUAGUGAACUAGUACCGUGAGGGAAAGGCGAAAAGAACCCCGGAGAGGGGAGUGAAAUAGAUCCUGAAACCGUAUGCGUACAAGCAGUGGGAGCAGACUUUGUUCUGUGACUGCGUACCUUUUGUAUAAUGGGUCAGCGACUUAUUUUCAGUGGCGAGCUUAACCGAAUAGGGGAGGCGUAGCGAAAGCGAGUCUUAAUAGGGCGUCUAGUCGCUGGGAAUAGACCCGAAACCGGGCGAUCUAUCCAUGGGCAGGUUGAAGGUUGGGUAACACUAACUGGAGGACCGAACCGACUACCGUUGAAAAGUUAGCGGAUGACCUGUGGAUCGGAGUGAAAGGCUAAUCAAGCUCGGAGAUAGCUGGUUCUCCUCGAAAGCUAUUUAGGUAGCGCCUCAUGUAUCACUGUAGGGGGUAGAGCACUGUUUCGGCUAGGGGGUCAUCCCGACUUACCAAACCGAUGCAAACUCCGAAUACCUACAAGUGCCGAGCAUGGGAGACACACGGCGGGUGCUAACGUCCGUCGUGAAAAGGGAAACAACCCAGACCGUCAGCUAAGGUCCCAAAGUUAUGGUUAAGUGGGAAACGAUGUGGGAAGGCUUAGACAGCUAGGAGGUUGGCUUAGAAGCAGCCACCCUUUAAAGAAAGCGUAAUAGCUCACUAGUCGAGUCGGCCUGCGCGGAAGAUGUAACGGGGCUCAAACCAUACACCGAAGCUACGGGUAUCACGUAAGUGAUGCGGUAGAGGAGCGUUCUGUAAGCCUGUGAAGGUGAGUUGAGAAGCUUGCUGGAGGUAUCAGAAGUGCGAAUGCUGACAUGAGUAACGACAAUGGGUGUGAAAAACACCCACGCCGAAAGACCAAGGUUUCCUGCGCAACGUUAAUCGACGCAGGGUUAGUCGGUCCCUAAGGCGAGGCUGAAAAGCGUAGUCGAUGGAAAACAGGUUAAUAUUCCUGUACUUCUGGUUAUUGCGAUGGAGGGACGGAGAAGGCUAGGCCAGCUUGGCGUUGGUUGUCCAAGUUUAAGGUGGUAGGCUGAGAUCUUAGGUAAAUCCGGGAUCUUAAGGCCGAGAGCUGAUGACGAGUCAUCUUUUAGAUGACGAAGUGGUUGAUGCCAUGCUUCCAAGAAAAGCUUCUAAGCUUCAGGUAACCAGGAACCGUACCCCAAACCGACACAGGUGGUUGGGUAGAGAAUACCAAGGCGCUUGAGAGAACUCGGGUGAAGGAACUAGGCAAAAUGGCACCGUAACUUCGGGAGAAGGUGCGCCGGUGAGGGUGAAGGACUUGCUCCGUAAGCCCAUGCCGGUCGAAGAUACCAGGCCGCUGCGACUGUUUAUUAAAAACACAGCACUCUGCAAACACGAAAGUGGACGUAUAGGGUGUGACGCCUGCCCGGUGCCGGAAGGUUAAUUGAUGGGGUUAGCUAACGCGAAGCUCUUGAUCGAAGCCCCGGUAAACGGCGGCCGUAACUAUAACGGUCCUAAGGUAGCGAAAUUCCUUGUCGGGUAAGUUCCGACCUGCACGAAUGGCGUAACGAUGGCGGCGCUGUCUCCACCCGAGACUCAGUGAAAUUGAAAUCGCUGUGAAGAUGCAGUGUAUCCGCGGCUAGACGGAAAGACCCCGUGAACCUUUACUAUAGCUUUGCACUGGACUUUGAAUUUGCUUGUGUAGGAUAGGUGGGAGGCUUUGAAGCGUGGACGCCAGUCUGCGUGGAGCCAUCCUUGAAAUACCACCCUGGCAACUUUGAGGUUCUAACUCAGGUCCGUUAUCCGGAUCGAGGACAGUGUAUGGUGGGUAGUUUGACUGGGGCGGUCUCCUCCUAAAGAGUAACGGAGGAGUACGAAGGUGCGCUCAGACCGGUCGGAAAUCGGUCGUAGAGUAUAAAGGCAAAAGCGCGCUUGACUGCGAGACAGACACGUCGAGCAGGUACGAAAGUAGGUCUUAGUGAUCCGGUGGUUCUGUAUGGAAGGGCCAUCGCUCAACGGAUAAAAGGUACUCCGGGGAUAACAGGCUGAUACCGCCCAAGAGUUCAUAUCGACGGCGGUGUUUGGCACCUCGAUGUCGGCUCAUCACAUCCUGGGGCUGAAGCCGGUCCCAAGGGUAUGGCUGUUCGCCAUUUAAAGUGGUACGCGAGCUGGGUUUAGAACGUCGUGAGACAGUUCGGUCCCUAUCUGCCGUGGACGUUUGAGAUUUGAGAGGGGCUGCUCCUAGUACGAGAGGACCGGAGUGGACGAACCUCUGGUGUUCCGGUUGUCACGCCAGUGGCAUUGCCGGGUAGCUAUGUUCGGAAUAGAUAACCGCUGAAAGCAUCUAAGCGGGAAACUAGCCUCAAGAUGAGAUCUCACUGGAACCUUGAGUUCCCUGAAGGGCCGUCGAAGACUACGACGUUGAUAGGUUGGGUGUGUAAGCGCUGUGAGGCGUUGAGCUAACCAAUACUAAUUGCCCGUGAGGCUUGACCAU